UGCUAAUCAUUGAAAUAAGAAGAAAAAGGCAAUAGAUGGCCGCCCCAGCAAGCUCCGCAGCUCAGGGGCCCUGAGCCCCCUGCCCUGGGACCUGGGGAUAAGUUUGGCUGUAGACAUGG
ensembl:snoRNA